rnacentral:rRNA from 1 species
AGAAUCAACGCUGGCGGCGUGCCUAACACAUGCAAGUCGCACGAGAAAGUGGAGCAAUCCAUGAGUAAAGUGGCGCACGGGUGAGUAACACGUGAAUAAUCUACCUCCGAGUGGGGAAUAACUGAGAGAAAUCUUAGCUAAUACCGCAUAAUACCCACGGGUCAAAGCAGCAAUGCGCUUGGAGAGGAGUUCGCGGCCGAUUAGUUAGUUGGCGGGUAAUGGCCCACCAAGACGAUGAUCGGUAU